rnacentral:rRNA from 1 species
UACGUAGGGUGCGAGCGUUAAUCGGAAUUACUGGGCGUAAAGCGUGCGCAGGCGGUGCUGUAAGACCGAUGUGAAAUCCCCGGGCUUAACCUGGGAACUGCAUUGGUGACUGCAGCGCUGGAGUAUGGCAGAGGGGGGUGGAAUUCCACGUGUAGCAGUGAAAUGCGUAGAGAUGUGGAGGAACACCGAUGGCGAAGGCAGCCCCCUGGGCCAAUACUGACGCUGAGGCACGAAAGCUAGGGGAGCAAACAGG